rnacentral:rRNA from 1 species
CUAGUCUGCCCACUGAAUAAUUGUUAUUUAAAGGGCCGCGGUAUUUUGACUGUGCGAAGGUAGCGUAAUCAUUAGUCUUUUAAUUGAAGGCUUGUAUGAAUGGCUGGAUGAGGUGAAUACUGUUUUAUAUUUAUUUUAAUUGAAUUUAGAUUUUAAGUAAAAAUACUUAAAUAAUAUUAAGGGACGAGAAGACCCUAUAGAGUUUAAUAAAUGUAGUAAUUAAUUAAGUUAAAAAAUUAAUUUAUAAUUAAUAUGAAGUUUAUUUAAUUGGGGAGAUUUAAAGAUAAAUAUAACUCUUUUUAAAUUUUAAUAUUAUAUUUAGUUUUGUGAUCCAUUAAUAAUGAUUGAAAGAUUAAAUUACCUUAGGGAUAACAGCAUAAUUUCUUUUAAGAGUUCAUAUCGAAAAGGAAGAUUGUGACCUCGAUGUUGGAUUAAGAUUAGUCUUAAGGGUGUAGAUGUUCAUAGACUGGGUCUGUUCGACCUU